rnacentral:rRNA from 1 species
AUUGAACGCUGGCGGCAGGCUUAACACAUGCAAGUCGAGCGAGCGGCGGACGGGUGAGUAAUGUCUGGGAAACUGCCCGAUGGAGGGGGAUAACUACUGGAAACGGUAGCUAAUACCGCAUACCAUCAGAUGUGCCCAGAUGGGAUUAGCUAGUAGGUGGGGUAAUGGCUCACCUAGGCGACGAGCCCUAGCUGGUCUGAGAGGAUGACCAGCCACACUGGAACUGAGACACGGGCGAGACUCAUACGGGAGGCAGCAGUGGGGAAUAUUGCACAAUGGGCGCAAGCCUGAUGCAGCCAUGCCGAGUGUGUGAAGAAGGCCUUCGGGUUGUAAAGUACUUUCAGCGAGGAGGCGUUACGGGAAGAAGAAGCACCGGCUAACUCCGUGCCAGCAGCCGCGGUAAUAG